UAGCGCGCAGCUUUGAUCCGGUAUGUCCGAAUGGGGAACCCACCCGCUUGCGGGUAUCCUGCAGUGAAUACAUAGCUGCUGGAAGCGAACCUGGUGAACUGAAAUAUCUAAGUAACCAGAGGAAAAGAAAUCAACCGAGAUUCCGUAAGUAGCGACGAGCGAACGCGGACUAGCCCUUAAGCUGAUUUGGUUCUAGGAAAAUGCUCUGGAAAGAGCAGCCAUAGAAGGUGAUAGCCCUGUAUCUGAAAGGGCCAUUUCAGUGAAGACGAGUAGGGCGGGGCACGUGAAACCCUGUCUGAACAUGGGGGGACCAUCCUCCAAGGCUAAAUACUACUGACCGACCGAUAGUGAACCAGUACCGUGAGGGAAAGGCGAAAAGAACCCCGGAGAGGGGAGUGAAAUAGAACCUGAAACCGUGUGCGUACAAGCAGUAGGAGCUCCGCAAGGAGUGACUGCGUACCUUUUGUAUAAUGGGUCAGCGACUUACUGUUGUGGAAAGAGUUUAAAA
rnacentral:rRNA from 1 species